rnacentral:rRNA from 1 species
GGGCACGUUCGUGUCGGAUGAGGGCGUGUCAUCUUUGAUGUCUUUAACGACUCUCGGCAACGGAUAUCUCGGCUCUCGCAUCGAUGAAGAACGUAGCGAAAUGCGAUACUUGGUGUGAAUUGCAGAAUCCCGUGAACCAUCGAGUCUUUGAACGCAAGUUGCGCCUGAAGCCAUUCGGCCGAAGGCACGUCUGCCUGGGCGUCACGUACCCAAUCGCUCCCCAAAACCUCCCACAUUUUUACGAAUUUGUGGAGGGCUAGGAGGGCGGAGAUUGGCCUCCCGUGCUGUAACGGCGCGGAUGGCCUAAAAGCAAAGCGUCGAGCGACGAAACGUCACGACAAGUGGUGGUAGAUAAAGCCCUAGCGGCAGCCUCAUCGUGUCGUGUGCGUCCAGUCGCGUUCGAUCGCCCAACGACCCCUACACGUCUCGACGAAUUCUGUCGCGA